GACGAACGCUGGCGGCGUGCUUAACACAUGCAAGUCGAACGAAGAGCGAUGGAAGCUUGCUUCUAUCACUCUUAGUGGCGAACGGGUGAGUAACGCGUAAUCAACCUGCCCUUCAGAGGGGGACAACAGUUGGAAACGACUGCUAAUACCGCAUACGAUCCAAUCUCGGCAUCGGGACUGGAUGAAAGGUGGCCUCUAUUUAUAAGCUAUCACUGAAGGAGGGGAUUGCGUCUGAUUAGCUAGUUGGAGGGGUAACGGCCCACCAAGGCGAUGAUCAGUAGCCGGUCUGAGAGGAUGAACGGCCACAUUGGGACUGAGACACGGCCCAGACUCCUACGGGAGGCAGCAGUGGGGAAUCUUCCGCAAUGGACGAAAGUCUGACGGAGCAACGCCGCGUGAGUGAUGACGGCCUUCGGGUUGUAAAGCUCUGUUAAUCGGGACGAAUGGUUCUUGUGCGAAUAGUGCGAGGAUUUGACGGUACCGGAAGAGAAAGCCACGGCUAACUACGUG
rnacentral:rRNA from 1 species